ensembl:lncRNA
GGGUGACAGAUGGCACCGUUUGCUAGGAAAUACAUCCAUUUUCCCCCUGUUUUUUUGGCAGUCUCACAGUCAAUAAUGUGCAGAUGAGAGGUGGGAAGGCCCAGCACUGGCUGUGGACGUGGAGCAGAGCUCUGCUGUGUGGCUGUAACUUUAUUUAAAUAGAUUGUUGUUACACACACUCUUAUCACAGCAAAGAAGCCAAGGAAACUUUCCCCGUGGAUUUGGGGUUGGUGUGGGACAGAGGAAGGAGUUGUAAUGAGAUUUCCAUGUUGGGAUGUUCAAUCCUGCCUCCAAGAACUGUGAUGAGGAACUGAUGUCCCCUUGCUCAGACCUCUCCUGGGGGGCACAGGACACUGGGAAUGCUCUUGGGUCCAUCUAGUGGAAUAAUUAGUCCCAAGCAAUAUGAGAAGCCAAAUUAAAUCCUUAAUUACCAUUUCAGCCCGGAGAAGAGAUGCUUCUUUCCAUUUUUUUUGCCAAAGAACGAGCUAAAGUUGGGUGUAACGCCAGGAAAGGCGAGGAAGUUUCAAUUUUCACACGUGGAGUGGAGAAUCCUUGGGAGAAUUCGGCUCUUUGCUCCUGCUGGGUGGAAAGAGCAGCACAAUUUGCAGCACAAGGGGAUCUCUCGGGUGCUGUUUGCUUGAGGUGGCCCCCAAAAUUUGGGAUGGAAGGAUUCCAGAGCCCCAAAACUCAGCGUUCCUGGGCCUUUGCUCUGCCUCCCUUCCUGGCAGCUCUGUGAAUGCAUCAAAUCUCUGAUAAAUAAUGAGCUUUUUCCAUUCUUCUCCCCAAAUAUCUUGUUUUCCUGCCAAGCUUACCACAGGUGAAGCAUCUCCUGGCAGAGGGGAAAAUUCCAGGGGUUCACCUCACAUUUUUGUAUUUUCUCUUCCCUGUGUUACCCAAACAUCUUUUAGACUUUCUUUAACCUUUUCAAACUCCUCACUAGCAGGGCUCGCUCUGUUAUUUCCACAUCGAGUUGGCAUUUUCACAGGAAAAUAGCCUUCCCAUAAAAAUUGUGCAUUUAUUGAAGAAAAGAAUGGAUUUUUCCAUUGGGGGAAUGGGAAUAUUGGCUCCCCAGCCAGGUGGGCACCUUGAAGCUGUAAACUGCCUCCCUCCAAAGACAUUUAAUUAUUCUGAAAUGAUUUUUUUUGUUGGCUUAUUUUUUUUUUCUGUAAAAUAUUCCACCUUUUUAUUUUCUCUUCCAAUUUCAAGCCAACAAAUACAAAAUAAAUCAACUCUCAAUUAUUUCCCCCCAACUGCUUCCCCCGGGGCUGUGCUGCGAUUAUGUGGAGAGAAAUAAAUUUGGUUAAACAAUGGUAAAUUGUCCUGAGCUGCCUUUUAUUAUCAGGAAGUUGCUUUGGCAACUGGAUAAUUUGCUGAUUUUUUUUACAUUAUUUUAGUCCCUUGCAUCUAUUCAUGAGAUUAUUCCAAAUGUUAUAUCAGUGCAUUUAAAUUAAGCAUGAAAGUGUUUUAGGGCUUUUUGCAAUGAUUGCUUAUUUAUUUUAUUAUCAAUAAUAAAUUUCAACCCAAAGCUUGAAGCUUCCCCUUUCAAGGACAGUAAAAAGGCAGGAGAGAAGCAGCUGGUGGCACAUAAAGAGCAAUGAAACAGGGCUGGGGUUGUGGGGAGGCCGCAAAGAAACUGAGCUGGGAUUUCUGGGUUCUUCUCCUCAAUUCUUUCUCUUUUUAAGGGAAAUUUGUCUUCUCUGGGCUCCAGAGCUGCUCCAAAGGAAAGGAAUGAAGUUGGGCUGAGGUUGCCGUGCUGCGAGGUGAAGUGCUUUUGGUAGGACUGGUUGGAAAUGUGGCUCUGUUGUUGUUUUUAAUGACAAAAUUUUGAUUUUCAUAGAAUUGCCGGAGGGUUUGGGUUGGAAGGGACCUCAAAGCCCAUCCAGUGCCACCCCUGCCAUGGCAGGGACAGCUUCCACUGGCCCAGGCUGCUCCAAUAUCGUAAAUGCAGGCGAACCCAAUGGGAAGAAAUGACGAUGUCUGACUCAAUUCAGAAAACUGAAUUAUUUCUUUAUUAUAAUUAUGCUAAAAUACAUUAAUAUGCUAUAUAAAAGGAGGAUACUAAAACUACAUACUACUUUCUCUGACUCUAACACAACUUGUGACCCUCUCUCUGUCCAGCCCUUGGUGGGUUGGAUUGGCCAUCAGCUCAAACAAUCCUCGCCAGAAUCCCACCAAGCAACACCCCAGGGAAACAAUUCUCCAAACACAUUCCACAUGGGAAAAACAAGGAGCAGAAAUAGAAAUUGUUUUCUCUUUCAUUUCUCUCUGUGCACCUCUAUGAAAAUCCUGAGAGGGAAAGAAAUGUGCUUGCCACACUCCAAGCCCCAUCCAAGCUGACCUUGGGCGCUGCCAGGGAUCCAGGGGCACCCACAGCUGCUCUGGGCACCCUGUGCCAGUGCACAGAGUAACUUUCAGCCACAUCUCUCUUUCCCCUGAUAUUUUCCUAGUUUUUAAUUCAUUACAUUUAUGUCAGAGUAUUGUUUUUGUAUUUGUUUUUCCAUCCAGGCUUCUUGGAACAGGGAGAGAGGCAAAGCACCCCUUGCACUUCAGCUCUGCCCGGUUUAGGAUUGUCAAAUAUUCCCUUCCCCAGGUAAAUCAACAUCCUCACAGAGGUGCUGCCCUGAGAAUCCACCAGCACAGCUGGAGCAGGCCUUGAGCUCCUCCUGCACUUCCCUGGGCUGCCCAACUCCCCCCACACUCAUCCAUGGGCUGCCUAAUUGGGAAAUUGAUUAAUUGACUGUCUAGAUAAUGGCCUCUCUUCCUGCAUGGCUUCAAGAUUCCAGCACAGGAGCCUUGGAGCUGCACUGGCUUCAAAGGGAAAGGAUUUCUAUAGGAUUUCUCUGGGGUUUGUAGGAUUGCUUGUAGAGAAUUUGCAGCCCCAUCCCUGGCAGUGUCCAAGGGCAGGUUGGAUGGGAAUUGGAGCAGCCUGGGAGAGUUGGAGGUGUCCCCAUGGCAGGGGGUGGAGCUGAGUGAUUUUUGAGCUCCCUUCCAAUCCAAA